ensembl:lncRNA uncharacterized LOC107565757
AGAAUUUGUAAUGAUUUAUUACGGUUUUACAGCAGUAACUAGGGUAUUUUGGCGGAAACUAGGGUUACCAUGGUAAAAAUUUUGCGAAUGAUUUCCUGUUGUUGUGAGGAUCUGCCAUUAGAUUGAAUCUAGACGGGACUCAAGCUCGUGCCACGUUACGUUACGGUGCGUUAGCCUCAAAUGUGUUCCCUGUCAUUUCUCGGUAAAGUGCUGUCCUUCCAUGGAUUCACUCAAGUAUUUGAGCUGAAGUAGAUAAUCGCAAGGAACAUAGUUGUCGGUAUCUGUAGUAGAUCUGCAGCGUAUAAAUCUCAGAAAGAGAGGAAUAGUGUUAUUUUAGUCCAAUACAGCGUAACUGCAUUAUGCAGAGUGGAGCCUUUUUUCUCGCUCGCAAAUAAAAUAAUGGGAGAGAAAUGAGAAGGAAAACAAAAGCGCAGCGAAUUCUUGACUACGAAAAUGAAGAGGAUGAGGAAGAGGAACAAAAACCGGACUGCUUCAGUGUUAAUGAGCUGGAUUGUUCUUCCGCAGACCUCUACACUGACAGUUCUCCUGCUUCUGAGUCUGAGGAGGCUCAUUAUUUACAGACCUAUUCGAAGAAGGAGCUUAUUGCCAUGGUCUUAUGCAUGCAGAGGGAAAUGGAGGACUUGAAGGAACAACUUAGGUGCCUUACAGCAUGUGGAAAGCUAGCAAGAAACCUGGAAAUGCUGAUCGAGAAGACCCAGAUGUGGUCAAAUGGGAACAAUGGGACCUCUCUCGGGACCCCAGAUUCUCAAGGCACGGCGCAGGCACCUGCCGAGGCAGAUGCUGUGAUACCAGAUGUGCGUUCUCCUCCAGCCAUUGUGAAUGGGCAAUGGCUGAAUCAGGGUCCAGGACCACAGAAACCUCAUGAGGCCACUCAGAAUGCUCAAAGGGACGGGCUCUUCACAGAGUUUAUCACUCCUGAACUUUUGGAGAGGUGUAACACAGGCACCACUGCCCAAAAACUGACCAACGACCUGCUCCGUGGACUCUAUGAGCGGGAAUGCCUGGCUUCCCACUCUAUAUCUGGAGUCGUGUACAACAAGAGAGGCCAACCAAAGCCUGCUCUCCCCACCGAAGAGAUCCAGGCAAUCCUGAGAACCGUUCAGUAUUUCUUUCCUGGCAAGACUGACGCAGAGAUCAAGGGCUACAUCCGACAGAAACUGCAAAACGAAGCCAAGAGGCUGAGGAAGAAACCGUCACUCUCAGGCCAAUAUGAGUCUAGAGGUUUCAGUGUACCGUUAGAUAUGAUCGACCAGAAUUGAAACGCACAGUUAGUAGAUAUUAAUUGCGUGUUCUCCAUUAAAUUAGCCUUAUUCGGUGUUACUUACAAUUAAAGUCCUGGACUCAAGUGAAAUUGAUGUGCAUUGAUAAUAGUCUUCAAAGAAAGUCACACUGAUCUCUUGCAGCUGCCAUUCGGCGGUUGACGGUUGUGGCUUUCUGAUGUGAAAAUGCAAAUGAGCGAUUCCAGAUAAGUCCAAAUGUUGCAUUCAUGAAAGCCUCUGGCUGCAUCGAGCACAGUCCACGCUUAGAUAUCGAGAUGUUUAGAUAUUAAUGAAUUAAUGAUGUGUCUCUGUGAACGUCUGUUUUUUUUAAUACUUUGUAUUUAACAGAUGUAGGAUUUCAAGACGUACCAUUGUGCGCGGAGCGUAAUAGGGUGUGACCAUUAUUUACAUUGUAUUUUCAAUGUAUUUCUUAUUUGAUGAUGUUAUUUGGUCUAUAUGACAACAGCUUUAUGUAUGUAGUUUUUUGUUAUUAAAUGCUGAAAACGCAGGUCUGCUUAUUGGUAUUAGCUUUUCAACUUUUUAUUUAUUUUUUAUUCAAUAUGGUUUUUGGUUGUUAAU